UACGGGGGGAGCAAGCGUUGUUCGGAUUUACUGGGCGUAAAGGGCGCGUAGGCGGCCAUCUUUGUCAGGCGUGAAAGCCCCGGGCUCAACCUGGGAACUGCGUCUGGGACGGGGUGGCUAGAGAUCGGGAGAGGAGCGUGGAAUUCCCAGUGUAGAGGUGAAAUUCGUAGAUAUUCGGAAGAACACCAGUGGCGAAGGCGGCUCACUGGCCCGGUACUGACGCUCAUGUGCGAAAGCGUGGGGAGCAAACAGG
rnacentral:rRNA from 1 species